rfam:Bacteroidetes bacterium GWF2_40_13 gwf2_scaffold_5682, whole genome shotgun sequence.
GGUGGAACCGACCCACCGAAGUCGCUUUGUAGGAAGGGGCUUCAAACCACCUAAAGGUUCUGUAGUAAAGAGAUAUGGUGCUGAGCGUUUAGGAAAAUAUAAUCCAUGAGGUUAUCAGGU